GUGAGGGGGAAAAAAGAGUAGAGCGAGGGAGAUAGAGAGAGAGGGAAACUGACAGGAUUCCAAUGCGGAUCAGAUAUCCCCACAGGAGUGAAACGACUUGCACUGGAGCCAGUGAGCAGGGGCUUGUGGGAAAGGAGUACACCCAAUCGUAGUACUUACUGACAGGCACAAUGUGUUCUAUCUACUGCAAGAGAGUUUCUGCUAUUUCAGAUAUUAAUGUGUUAAAAGCUGAAACCACACAACACAAUCACAUCCCGAAUCCGACUUUGUGCAUCUGUGCCAGGCCCCCUCACUGUGGCCCACAAGCAGCACACUAUGAAAAGUUCAACUGACAGCAUGGAGUGAGCCAGCCAGCAGGAGGAAUACGAAACAAGGUACUGGGACAUAUCCAGCUUGGUAGUUAGCUAGCCACAUGCGAAGGAACAGAGCUGCUUGUGGGUGCGCCGUUGCUGUGAACUUCUCCCACUCUCGUUUAUGGCAGAAUUAAGUGGGGAAAGUCUCGAAAUUCUAUCAAAACCUCAGUGACAAAACUCCCUAAAGGCAGCCUGAAAAGUAGCUGAAUUUGUCGCUAGCCUGUUUUACCAGUAAAAGCCGCUGGAGGGGUCUGAAGACUCGCUAAAUAUAGUGACAACGUUGCUAAAUUGGCAACACUGACGACAAUGUCGCCACCCCCCCUGGAGGAUGAGAACCUGCGCCAUUGACAAACUUCAAGCUAUACUGGGUUUGCAACAAAUCAUAUCCUAUCCAACUACAGUUCAUUCUUCUAUAUCUCAGGUACACAAUUGUCUGAGUUGGUUUCUCUGGACAGCAUAUCUGACUGGCUAAAAAUCUAAUAAAUAUAUUGUUUGAGAUGUUUCAAGAAGGAUAUUUUGUGUGCACAAAAUGUGUUUCCUGUCAGAUUCCGUAUGGGGAACACUGUAGUAAAUGUGUACUCAUGACAUAGAUGCAGAAAGUAAACAGCAUAGUGGGUAAAUUUCCACAACAACUAAGAGAGUUGAAGCGCGAGGCUCAACUUCCCUGCUGUUUUGGUUCCCUGGCGUCCACGCUGUGAACACUGUCAAGAAAACUUGUGCACGUGGGCCGAUACUGUGUGUGACUCACUCAUCUCAAUAUCUGCAAUGCUGCUCAUGGCAACGUCAUUUCACUGAGUCUAACUUUAAUUGAAUAAAUGGCUAUUGUU